ACAAUCGUGUAAAUGCGGAAUGCCGCCUUUGUUGCGCGACAGAGAAAACCAAUGUCGGCGAACCCUUCAAACAUUUAGAACCACCAUCCCGUCCCUUGUUUACCCGACACUUAGUCGAGUAAGAUUAAACCAUUAUUAAUGCGUGUCGCGCGAAAUAAAACGGGAUGGAUAAUACGAUUUCCGUGUGCAUUCUGAUCUCGCCGGGGACGACUCGGAAAAUACCGAGGCCCCGGUGCAGUCGAUUUUGCGGGUCUUCGGUUUACUGAUUUGACUUUCCCCUCGACUUUUUCG